GGAAGAAGGAAACUGUCAGUAAAGCAGCAGCUGCAGUGGCUCAGCCGAGUGAAGGAGGAAGUUGCAGAAUAGGCCUUGGCUGCUGCUGCUGCUAAGUCACGUCAGUCGUGUCUGACUCUGUGCGACCCCAUAGACGGCAGCCUACCAGGCUCCCCCGUCCCUGGGGUUCUCCAGGCAAGAACACUGGAGUGGGUUGCCGUUUCCUUCUCCAGUGCAUGAAAGUGAAAAGUGAAAGUGAAGUCGCUCAGUCGUGUCCAACUCUUCGCGACCCCAUGGACUGCAGCCUACCAGGCUCUUCCGCCCAUGGGAUUUUCCAGGCAAGAGUACUGGAGCGGGGUGCCAUUGCCUUCUCCGAGUGUAGUAAUAUUUAGUCAUGAUAGGGAAUGAGGAGGAAGAAGCAGACAUUCUGGGUGACAGACUGGAUUUGGCAACCAAGGAGAAAUAUAUACCAGAAGGUGCCAAGUUAAGAGACGAUGGAGCUGGCUGGAUCCUUCCAGAAUGGAAAAGAAGCUCUUUUGAAAGAUGCCUGGGAAGGUACUACAAGGGUCAAACAAGAUGAUUCAAGCAAAAGCUACCUUAAAAAAUAUGGCUUAUUGAUACUAUCCUCUGUUGCCUUAAAACUGAAAUACUUGGUGCAUGGGAAUGAUGUCCUAGUAAUGGACGGUCUCCUCAAGAAAAGUCAAAAUCUGCAUUUCUUGAAAAAUCAAAAUGGAGUUGGAAUUGCUAAGAGAGCUCUCUAAAAUGAAGCCAGGAGGUCACUGAGGAAGUGAGACUUAAUAC
ensembl:lncRNA